rnacentral:rRNA from 1 species
UUAAGGUACAAAGGGCACGCGGGGAAUGCCUUGGCGCCAGAUGCCGAAGAAAGACGCAGCCAGCUGCGAAAAGCCGCGGGGAGGAGCAAGCAUCCCGUGAUCCGCGGAUAUCUGAAUGGGGAAACCUGCAUGGAGCAUUCCAUGCGCCCGAAAAGGGCGGCAACCCGGUGAAGUGAAACAUCUCAGUAACCGGAGGAAGAGAAAUCGAUAGAGAUGCCCCAAGUAGUGGUGAGCGAAAGGGGUAAAGCCUAAACCGUAUGCAUGCCAAGCCUGCAGGCGUUGUGCAUAUGGGGUCGCGGGAUCCAUGAGCGGAGAUCUGCAGAUUUCCGGAGGAGUCACAAAAUAUUUUCAUAGUUGAAUCGUGUUGGGAAAACGAGCCGCAGAGGGUGAAAGCCCCGUAAGCGAAAUGGAAAUAACUCCUUUGAUGGACACCCAAGUAGUGCGGAGCACGUGAAAUUCCGUAUGAAUCAGGGCCGACCACGGUCCAAGGCUAAAUACAUCUGGCGACCGAUAGUGAAGCAGUACCGAGAGGGAAAGGUGAAAAGCACCCCUGGCGGGGAGUGAAAUAGACCUGAAACCGCGUGCUUACAAGCAGUCGGAGCAUGUAUACAUGUGACGGCGUGCCUCUUGGAAAAUGAGCCGUCGAGUUAUGGUAUGUGGCGAGGAUAAGAACUACAAGGUUCGGAUCCGCAGGGAAACCGAGUCUGAACAGGGCGCAAGUCGCAUGCUAUAGACCCGAAGCCAUACGAUCUAUCCAUGUCCAGGUUGAAGACCGGGUAACACCGGUUGGAGGACCGAACCACAGCCUGUUGAAAAAGGCCUGGAUGAGGUGUGGAUAGGAGUGAAAAGCUAAUCGAGUAUGGUGAUAGCUGGUUCUCCCCGAAAUGCAUUGAGGUGCAGCCUCAUUUAUAGAUUUAUGGGGGGUAGAGCACUGAAUGAGUAAGGGGGCAGAUGUGCCUACCGAGCUCAAUCAAACUCCGAAUACCCAUAAAAUUUGGAUGGGAGUGAGACUACGGGUGCGAAGAUUCGUGGUCGAAAGGGAAACAGCCCAGCCCGACAGCUAAGGUCCCAAAGCCUGUGCUAAGUGUUACAAGGAUGUGGGGAAGCAAAGACAGCCAGGAGGUUGGCUCAGAAGCAGCCACCCUUGAAAGAGUGCGUAACAGCUCACUGGUCGAGCGUCCCUGCGCCAAAAAUGUGGGGGGCUAAGCACAGCGCCGAAGCUUCGGAUUCAAUGGAGAUAUCCAUUGACUGGUAGGGGAGCGUUCCAUACGGGACGAAGCAGAACUGUAAGGUUCUGUGGACUUUAUGGAAGUGAGAAUGACGGCAUGAGUAGCGAAAAGUGUGCGAGAAACACACUCACCGAAAACCCAAGGAUUCCUGGGGAAGGCUCAUCCACCCAGGGUUAGGCGGGACCUAAGGCGAGGCCGAAAGGCGUAGCCGAUGGACAACAGGUAGACAAUCCUGUCCUUCGUACGAUCGUUUGACCGAUGGAGUGACGCAGAAAGCUAUGUGCGCCGGGUGACGGAAGUCCCGGUCCAAGGAAGUAGGCUGGUGUGGGAGGCAAAUCCCCCGUACCGUUAAGGCCGAGAUCUGAUGGGGUAGUGAAUAAUCACGGGAAGGCACAAAUGCUAUGCUGCCGAGAAAAGCUUCUAGGGAGAGAGUAUGAACCCGUACUGAAAACCGACACAGGUGGGUUGGCUUAGAAGGCUAAGGUGAACGGGAUAACCCUUGUUAAGGAACUCUGCAAGUUGACUCCGUAACUUCGGGAGAAGGAGUGGCUGGAGAUGUUAAGACUAUACGUUGUAAGCAUCUUUGGUUCGCAGAAACCAGGCUCAGGCGACUGUUUAACUAAAACACAGGACUCUGCUUAAGGCGCAAGCCGAAGUAUAGGGUCUGACACCUGCCCGGUGCUGGAAGGUUAAAGGGAGAGGUUAGUCGCAAGGCGAAGCUUUGAACUGAAGCCCCAGUAAACGGCGGCCGUAACUAUAACGGUCCUAAGGUAGCGAAAUUCCUUGUCGGGUAAGUUCCGACCUGCACGAAAGGUGUAACGAUCUGAGCGCUGUCUCAACAGGGGGCCCGGUGAAAUUGUGGUACUGGUAAAGACGCCAGUUACCCGCAGUAGGACGGAAAGACCCCGUGGAGCUUUACUGUAACUUGAUAUUGGAUUUCGGUACACUCUGUAUAGGAUAGGUGGGAGGCUAUGAAGGCAGUGCGCCAGCAUUGUUGGAGCCGUCCUUGGAAUACCACCCUUGGUGUGCUGGGAUUCUAACCGCGUCUGCUGAAUCGCAGCGCGGGACAUUGUCAGGCGGGCAGUUUGACUGGGGCGGUCGCCUCCCAAAGAGUAACGGAGGCGCGCGAAGGU